GGUCAAGCUACAAAGGGCGCAUGGUGAAUGCCUUGGCAUCAGGAGCCGAUGAAGGACGCGAUAAGCUGCGAUAAGCUUCGGGUAGACGCACAUAGUCAGAGAUCCGAAGAUUUCCGAAUGAGGAAACUCACAUGGGAAACCCCAUGUAUCAUAAAGUGAAUACAUAGCUUUAUGAAGGUAAACCCAGGGAACUGAAACAUCUAAGUACCUGGAGGAAGAGAAAGAAAAAUCGAUUUUUCUUAGUAGCGGCGAGCGAAAAGGAAAGAGCCCAAACCAGAGAUUUAUCUCUGGGGUUGCGGACAGAACAUAACGAGAAAUCAUAGUUAACCGAACACAACUGGAAAGUUGGACCGCAGGGGGUAAUAGUCCCGUAAGUGAAAAUUAUGAUAAUCAGUUCUGCACCAGAGUACCACGAGACACGUGAAACCUUGUGGGAAGCAGGGAGGACCACCUCCCAAGGCUAAAUACUACCUGAUGACCGAUAGUGAAGCAGUACCGUGAGGGAAAGGUGAAAAGAACCCCGGGAGGGGAGUGAAAUAGAACCUGAAACCAUGUGCCUACAACCGAUCAAAGCACCUUAUGUGUGUGAUGAUGUGCUUUUUGUAGAACGAGCCAACGAGUUACGGUAUGUAGCGAGGUUAAGUACUUAAGGUACGGAGCCGAAGGGAAACCGAGUCUUAAUAGGGCGACUAGUUGCAUGCUGUAGACCCGAAACCGGGUGACCUAUCCAUGGCCAGGUUGAAGCGAGGGUAAAACCUCGUGGAGGACCGAACCACGUUGCUGUUGAAAAAGCAUGGGAUGAGCUGUGGAUAGCGGAGAAAUUCCAAUCGAACUCGGAUAUAGCUGGUUCUCCUCGAAAUAGCUUUAGGGCUAGCGUCGGAAAAUGUGAGUAGUGGAGGUAGAGCACUGAAUAGGCUAGGGGGCAUAGCGCUUACCGAACCUUAUCAAACUCCGAAUGCCAUAUACUAUCAGUCCGGCAGUCAGACUAUGAAAGAUAAGUUCCAUGGUCAAAAGGGAAACAGCCCAGAUCGUCAGCUAAGGUCCCAAAGUGUAAGUUAAGUGGAAAAGGAUGUGGGGAUUUCUAAGACAACUAGGAUGUUGGCUUAGAAGCAGCCACUCAUUAAAAGAGUGCGUAAUAGCUCACUAGUCAAGAGAUCCUUGCGCCGAAAAUGUCCGGGGCUCAAACUUACCACCGAAGCUACGGGUUCACAAUUUAUUGUGAGCGGUAGAGGAGCGUCCGUAAUCGGGCUGAAGUCGUACCGAAAGGAGCGGGUGGACUGAUUACGAUGAGGAAUGUUGGCAUUAGUAGCGAGAUGUAGGUGAGAAUCCUACAGGCCGAAUAUCUAAGGUUUCCUGAGUAAAGUUUGUCUUCUCAGGGUUAGUCGGGACCUAAGGCGAGGCCGAAAGGCGUAGUCGAUGGACAAUUGGUUGAUAUUCCAAUACACUAUAAUCGUUAUUAUCGAUGGUGUGACGGAGAAGGAUAGGAUGUGCUAACUAUUGGAUGUUAGUCUAAGCGUUUAGGGAGUUAGGAUAGGCAAAUCCGUUCUAACAAUUCUGAGGCGUGAUGGGGAAGGUUCCACGGAACCGAAGUAUCUGAUUCCAUGCUUCCAAGAAAAGCAUCUAGAGAGAGAAGUAGUGCCCGUACCGCAAACCGACACAGGUAGAUGAGGAGAGAAUCCUAAGGCCGACGGAAGAAUUGCAGUUAAGGAACUAGGCAAAUUGACCCCGUAACUUCGGGAGAAGGGGUGCCUGCUUUACGGCAGGGCCGCAGAGAAUAGGCACAAGCAACUGUUUAACAAAACACAGGUCUCUGCUAAAGCGAAAGCUGAUGUAUAGGGGCUGACGCCUGCCCGGUGCUGGAAGGUUAAGGGGAACACUUAGCGUAAGCGAAGGUGUGAACUUAAGCCCCAGUAAACGCGGCCGUAACUAUAACGGUCCUAAGGUAGCGAAAUUCCUUGUCAGGUAAGUUCUGACCCGCACGAAUGGCGUAAUGACUUGUGCACUGUCUCAACUGCAAAUCCGGCGAAGUUGUAGUGCGAGUGAAGAUGCUCGCUACCCGCGAUUGGACGGAAGACCCCGUAGAGCUUUACUGUAGCUUAGCAUUGAAUUUCGGUAUUGUCUGUACAGGAUAGGUGGGAGACUGGGAAACUAGGGCGUCAGCCUUAGUGGAGUCGUUGUUGGGAUACCACCCUGAUAGUAUUGAAAUUCUAACUGGAUGCCAUGAAACUGGUGACAGGACAUUGUUAGGUGGGCAGUUUGACUGGGGCGGUCGCCUCCUAAAAUGUAACGGAGGCG
rnacentral:rRNA from 1 species